GACGAACGCUGGCGGCGUGCUUAACACAUGCAAGUCGAACGGUGAACCAGAGCUUGCUCUGGGGAUCAGUGGCGAACGGGUGAGUAACACGUGGGCAACCUGCCCAGACUCUGGGAUAACCUCGGGAAACCGAUGCUAAUACCGGAUACGACCACUUCGGACAUCCGACGGUGGUGGAAAGUUUUUCGGUCUGGGAUGGGCCCGCGGCCUAUCAGCUAGUUGGUGGGGUAAUGGCCUACCAAGGCGACGACGGGUAGCCGGCCUGAGAGGGCGACCGGCCACACUGGAACUGAGACACGGUCCAGACUCCUACGGGAGGCAGCAGUGGGGAAUAUUGCACAAUGGGCGAAAGCCUGAUGCAGCGACGCCGCGUGAGGGACGACGGCCUUCGGUUGGUAAACCUCUUUCAGCAGGGACGAAGCGAAAGUGACUGUACCUGCAGAAGAAG
rnacentral:rRNA from 1 species